UAAUCUCACCCCAGAUUGUUCUGGGUGUGGACUUGGAUGCCGUCGCGUGUCGCGACUCGUCUGGAAUGCCUCAGUGUACCCCGCCCGUUGGCGUAGACAGUGUGAUAAGUAUCUUCACUAUCGAGUCUCCUCGGAGACGCGCUCUCGGACCGGCCCUGCGCUGCCAACCGUCUUCGGACAAUUCUGACAAU
rnacentral:misc_RNA from 1 species